UACAGAGGUCUCAAGCGUUGUUCGGAUUCAUUGGGCGUAAAGGGUGCGUAGGUGGCGCUGUAAGUCGGGUGUGAAAUUUCGGAGCUUAACUCCGAAACUGCAUUCGAUACUGCGGUGCUUGAGGACUGGAGAGGAGACUGGAAUUCCUGGUGUAGCGGUGGAAUGCGCAGAUAUCAGGAGGAACACCGAUGGCGAAGGCAGGUCUCUGGGCCACUACUGACGCUGAGACGCGAAAAAGCGUGGGGGGAGCGAAACAGGG
rnacentral:rRNA from 1 species